rnacentral:rRNA from 1 species
ACCCUUUAAUGUUUGAUGUUCUAACGUGGACCCGUUACCCGGGUUGCGGACAGUGUCUGGUGGGUAGUUUGACUGGGGCGGUCUCCUCCUAAAGAGUAACGGAGGAGCACGAAGGUUGGCUAAUCCUGGUCGGACAUCAGGAGGUUAGUGCAAUGGCAUAAGCCAGCUUGACUGCGAGCGUGACGGCGCGAGCAGGUGCGAAAGCAGGUCAUAGUGAUCCGGUGGUUCUGAAUGGAAGGGCCAUCGCUCAACGGAUAAAAGGUACUCCGGGGAUAACAGGCUGAUACCGCCCAAGAGUUCAUAUCGACGGCGGUGUUUGGCACCUCGAUGUCGGCUCAUCACAUCCUGGGGCUGAAGUAGGUCCCAAGGGUAUGGCUGUUCGCCAUUUAAAGUGGUACGCGAGCUGGGUUUAGAACGUCGUGAGACAGUUCGGUCCCUAUCUGCCGUGGGCGCUGGAGAACUGAGGGGGGCUGCUCCUAGUACGAGAGGACCGGAGUGGACGCAUCACUGGUGUUCGGGUUGUCAUGCCAAUGGCACUGCCCGGUAGCUAAAUGCGGAAGAGAUAAGUGCUGAAAGCAUCUAAGCACGAAACUUGCCCCGAGAUGAGUUCUCCCUGAGACUUAAAGUCUCCUGAAGGAACGUUGAAGACGACGACGUUGAUAGGCCGGGUGUGUAAGCGCAGCGAUGCGUUGAGCUAACCGGUACUAAUGAACCGUGAGGCUUAACCUUACAACGCCGAAG